rnacentral:rRNA from 1 species
UGGUCUUAGCUUGCUAAGACUGAUGGCGACCGGCGCACGGGUGAGUAACACGUAUCCAACCUGCCGUCUACUCUUGGACAGCCUUCUGAAAGGAAGAUUAAUACAAGAUGGCAUCAUGAGUCCGCAUGUUCACAUGAUUAAAGGUAUUCCGGUAGACGAUGGGGAUGCGUUCCAUUAGUUUGUUGGCGGGGUAACGGCCCACCAAGACAUCGAUGGAUAGGGGGUUCUGAGAGGAAGGUCCCCCACAUUGGAACUGAGACACGGUCCAAACUCC